rnacentral:rRNA from 1 species
GGAUUCGNAUGGGGGAACCCUGACGCAGCACGCCGCGUGGAGGAUGAAGUCCUUCGGGACGUAAACUCCUUUCGAUCGGGACGAUUAUGACGGUACCGGAAGAAGAAGCCCCGGCUAACUUCGUGCCAGCAGCCGCGGUAAUACGAAGGGGGCUAGCGUUGCUCGGAAUCACUGGGCGUAAAGCGCACGUAGGCGGCUUUUUAAGUCAGGGGUGAAAUCCUGGAGCUCAACUCCAGAACUGCCUUUGAUACUGAGAAGCUUGAGUCCGGGAGAGGUGAGUGGAACUGCGAGUGUAGAGGUGAAAUUCGUAGAUAUUCGCAAGAACACCAGUGGCGAAGGCGGCUCACUGGCCCGGAACUGACGCUGAGACGCGAAAGCGUGGGGAGCAAACAGGAUUAGAUACCCUGGUAGUCCACGCUGUAAACGAUGGAUGCUAGCCGUUGGGGAGCUUGCUCUUCAGUGGCGCCGCUAACGCUUUAAGCAUCCCGCCUGGGGAGUACGGUCGCAAGAUUAAAACUCAAAAAAAUUGACGGA